rnacentral:rRNA from 1 species
AUUGAACGCUGGCGGCACGCCUAACACAUGCAAGUCGAGCGGCAGCGCGGGUAGUAGCAAUACUAUCUGGCGGAGAGCGGCGGACGGGUGAGGAACACGUAGGGACCUGCCUUAAAGGGGGGGAUAACCAGAGGAAACUGUGGCUAAUACCGCAUGAACUCGAGAGAGAAAAGCUGCCCGCAAGGGUGGCGCUUUAAGAGGGGCCUGCGUCCGAUUAGCUAGGUGGUGAGGUAACUGCUCACCAAGGCGAUGAUCGGUAACUGGACUGAGAGGACGAGCAGGCACACUGGCACGGAGACACGGACCAGACUCCUACGGGAGGCAGCAGUGGGGAAUAUUGGACAAUGGGGACAACCCUGAUCCAGCGAUGCCGCGUGGGUGAAGAAGGCCUUCGGGUUGUAAAGCCCUUUAGGUUGGGAAGAAGGUUGGUAGUUUAAGAGAUAAUCAGCUUGACGGUACCAACAGAAUAAGCACCGGCAAACUCUGUGCCAGCCGCCGCCGUAA